CAGUCGUCAGGAACCAAAACCCCCAAUCCGGAAAACCUGUUCGCAAAGGCAGCAGAGAGGCAGAAGGCGUUUAUGACUGAGCAGGCGUGAGACCCGAAUGGGACGUGCGUCCCAAGGACGCCCCGUGGGACAUCCAGGACAAUGUGAUAAUCCAGAGGAAAAAACAAAGGUUUCUUACAAAAGACCGGCCUGCACUGUGGCAUAGCAGGCUAAGCCUCCGCCUGCAGUGCCAGCAUCCCAUAUGGGCACCGGUUCAAGUCUCAGCUGCUCCUCUUCCAAUCCAGCUCUCUACUAAUGGCCUGGGAAAGCAGUAGAAGAUGGCCCAAGUACCUGGCUCCCUGUACCUGCAUAGGAGCCCUGGAAGAAGCUCUUGGCUUCAGAUCAGCCCAGCUCUGAUCAUUGUGGCCAUUUGGGGAAUGACCCUCUCACUGUGUGUA